CAACUUCAGCAACGGAUCUCUUGGCUCUCGCAUCGAUGAAGAACGCAGCGAAAUGCGAUAAGUAAUGUGAAUUGCAGAAUUCAGUGAAUCAUCGAAUCUUUGAACGCACCUUGCGCUCCUUGGUAUUCCGAGGAGCAUGCCUGUUUGAGUGUCAUUA
rnacentral:rRNA from 1 species